UAGGGAAUCUUCCGCAAUGGACGCAAGUCUGACGGAGCAACGCCGCGUGAGUGAAGAAGGAUUUCGGUUCGUAAAACUCUGUUGUUAGAGAAGAACAGCGCAUAGAGUAACUGUUAUGCGUGUGACGGUAUCUAACCAGAAAGCCACGGCUAACUACGUGCCAGCAGCCGCGGUAAUACGUAGGUGGCAAGCGUUGUCCGGAUUUAUUGGGCGUAAAGCGAGCGCAGGCGGUCAAUUAAGUCUGAUGUGAAAGCCCCCGGCUCAACCGGGGAGGGUCAUUGGAAACUGGUUGACUUGAGUGCAGAAGAGGAAAGUGGAAUUCCAUGUGUAGCGGUGAAAUGCGCAGAGAUAUGGAGGAACACCAGUGGCGAAGGCGACUUUCUGGUCUGUAACUGACGCGGAUGUGCGAAAGCGUGGGGAUCAAACAGG
rnacentral:rRNA from 1 species